AAAAAUACAUAGAAGAAGUAUAAAGGUGCCUUCUGUUUUAAUCCUUUUACCCGACAAAGAUUGCAUAAUAUGAUUACCGUUUACCAUAAGGUUUUAUUUGUCUACAAGUGUAACCAUAUUAUUCAUUCAAUUUAUUGUAUUAUACUUUGUGGCGCUUAGGUGUUGAAUAACUAUCAAUAUACGGGGUGAUCAAUCUAUCAUAAGACAAUCAUUAUCUCAGAAAAUAUUAAUUUUUUCCGGAAUUUAUUUUCUAGAACAUUUAAGAAACAAGCUGCUAUACAAUUUUAUAUUUAAGUUAUUUCUUGUCACCCUUAUUUUUGGAAGUGAAUACCUAUUUUUGAUUUUUAAAUGGUAACCUGUAUUCAAAAUUCCAUAAAUAAA